CUCGGAGGAGGGGGAGCCCUCAGCCCAGAUUGUGAGAGGGCACAGGCCAGGCCGAGGGACCCCACAGGUGCACG
rfam:Myotis brandtii contig192967, whole genome shotgun sequence.